AUUGAACGCUGGCGGCAGGCCUAACACAUGCAAGUCGAACGAGUGGCGGAGGGGUGAGUAAUGUCUGUGAAACUGCCCGAUGGAGGGGGAUAACUACUGGAAAAGGUAGCUAAUACCGCAUACCCUCGGAUGUGCCCAGAUGGGAUUAGCUAGUAGGGGGGGUAACGGCUCACCUAGGCGACGAUCCCUAGCUGGUCUGAGAGGAGGACCAGCCACACGGGAACGGAGACACGGUCCAGACUCCUACGGGAGGCAGCAGUGGGGAAUAUUGCACAAUGGGCGCAAGCCUGAUGCAGCCAUGCCGCGUGUAUGAAGAAGGCCUUCGGGUUGUAAAGCACUUUCAGCGAGGAGGCGUUACUCGCAGAAGAAGCACCGGCUAACUCCGUGCCAGCAGCCGCGGUAAUAC
rnacentral:rRNA from 1 species